rnacentral:sRNA from 1 species
AAUAAAACAAAAAUUAGAAAAUUUGGUUUUGAUUUAAAUUUAUGAUUCUCCUUUCAUCUUUUUUAAACUGUUUUAAAUCAUCAUAUAAUACAUAAAGUGAAAAAAAUCUCAAUUUUUUCUUAUGCAUAUAUUGUGAUUUCGAAAUUUUUUAAAACGGACAUGUAUUACUUAAUUAAUGAAAAGUGUGUUUUCAACGUCCCACAUCUGCUAUAAAGUUUAGACAAUGAUUUAGAUUCAUAUUAUACAUAAAAUUAAAAUGAAUCCAACUUCGAAUGAGUAUAAACCUUAACAUAACAAGCAUCCAAAUUU